rnacentral:rRNA from 1 species
GACGAACGCUGGCGGCGUGCCUAAUACAUGCAAGUCGAGCGAGACUCUUUGGAGUCUAGCGGCGGACGGGUGAGUAACACGUGGGCAACCUGCCUGUAAGACUGGGAUAACACCGGGAAACCGGUGCUAAUACCGGAUAAUCCUUUUCCUCUCAUGAGGAAAAGCUGAAAGCCGGUCUCGGCUGACACUUACAGAUGGGCCCGCGGCGCAUUAGCUAGUUGGUGAGGUAACGGCUCACCGAGGCGACGAUGCGUAGCCGACCUGAGAGGGUGAUCGGCCACACUGGGACUGAGACACGGCCCAGACUCCUACGGGAGGCAGCAGUAGGGAAUCUUCCACAAUGGACGAAAGUCUGAUGGAGCAACGCCGCGUGAGCGAUGAAGGCCUUCGGGUCGUAAAGCUCUGUUGUUAGGGAAGAACAAGUACCGGAGUAACUGCCGGUACCUUGACGGUACCUAACCAGAAAGCCACGGCUAACUACGUGCCAGCCGCCGCCGUAACAC